rnacentral:rRNA from 1 species
GGACGGCGCAGCCUGAUCAGCAUGCCGCGUGCAGGAAGAAGGCCUUCGGGUUGUAAACUGCUUUUGUCAGGGAAGAAAUCUUCUGGGCUAAUACCCCGGGAGGAUGACGGUACCUGAAGAAUAAGCACCGGCUAACUACGUGCCAGCAGCCGCGGUAAUACGUAGGGUGCGAGCGUUAAUCGGAAUUACUGGGCGUAAAGCGUGCGCAGGCGGCUUUGCAAGACAGAUGUGAAAUCCCCGGGCUCAACCUGGGAACUGCAUUUGUGACUGCAAGGCUAGAGUACGGCAGAGGGGGAUGGAAUUCCGCGUGUAGCAGUGAAAUGCGUAGAUAUGCGGAGGAACACCAAUGGCGAAGGCAAUCCCCUGGGCCUGUACUGACGCUCAUGCACGAAAGCGUGGGGAGCAAACAGGAUUAGAUACCCUGGUAGUCCACGCCCUAAACGAUGUCAACUGGUUGUUGGACGGCUUGCUGUUCAGUAACGAAGCUAACGCGUGAAGUUGACCGCCUGGGGAGUACGGCCGCAAGGUUG